UGUAAGGGUUGAGGAGAUGGUAAAAGCAUGAUGAGUGCUCUCCCAGUAGGAAUGAAGGGAGAAGUGGUCGAGGACUCAUGUCAAGCAAUGCAGAGAGCUGCUGGCCUUAAAAUUAACCCAUGCAGGGAUCUGUGCAAUACACCCAGGGGCUGGUGAGUCACACAGAGAGAGGCACAGAUCAUACAGCACAGUGCCUGCCUAGAGAGACAUCCUUGGGUGUCCUCUGUUUAUGCUUUGUGACUUGGAGCAUCUGCUCCAACCACGGUCCCUGGGGAAGGGAGAGACAGGAGAGGUGGCUGGAUAUUCAUCUGUAGCGUCCCAUUAGCAUCAAAGAGGUAACAAAGACAUCAAAACCUUAUAAAUCAACAGGCCACAGGACAGCAUUGCUUUCUUGGUUAUUAGGAUGAGGUCUGGAUUUACCACUAAGCGUGGUGUUCCCUGAACCCCUGCAGACCCUUAAAACAGUGGUGAAAACCUUCAUGUGGUUUAUUAGUGUCUCAGUGCACAGGCUGCAUGCUUAAAAAGCAGCAACAGGAGUGGUGCAGGCUCCCAUUCCAUGAAGCAUCUCAUUUAUGUAACAUUGCAGGUUUAGGGAUAGCCUGAAUCUUGACUCCCUCAGAGAAACAAAUUCCACUGUGAGCUGCCACCUCCAUGAGCAGAGCAUCCCUUCUGCUUAGCAGAGAUUUAAGUUCUCUAAAAGAUGAUGAACCAGCCCUCAGGACAGCUUUUGACCCUACAAACAGCAUCUUGAACUCAGACUAGACAUUUCUAGCUGCUUUUCUAAUCAGGGAGGAAGUCUUUAUUUACUCCAAGUCGUAAAAUAACUUUCAUCCCAGUUUCCCCUGGCUCCUUCUCCUUCCUUAUGCUGAAGGAAUCUGUGCACAGCAGGCAGGAGGUUACGGAAGGGUCCGCCAGCCACCCCCUCUGCAGGUGGUGCAAGCCUCCAACCCCAAACUGCAAGGCUGUGGUCUGUUUCAAAGCGAGGCAUCGCUGAAUAAUGCUCUAGAUCAGGCACAAGGGAGUUUCUUUAAUAGAGAAUGUGGCCAAAGAGGACUUUGACAACCACAAAGACAGUUAGAUGGCAAGGCCAAAUUGAGCUCAUAUAUACUCUGCCUUUCCAGAGCUGAAAGAGGGUGGGUGUGGAAGCAUCCCCAGGAACUAAAUGAUAUCCAUGUGUUAGGAGGAAACAGAGUUGCCAGAGAGCUACAGCAAUGGGUUCAAUUUUUACUAAUUUUUUCAUAUUUAAUAUUUUAUAUUUAAUCAUAUUGUUGCUGGGCUUGGGGUGGUGAUUUUCCAGUUGCUUUGUCUUCUGCUUUGUACUGCUAGCCCUGUGGCAGCAGAGCAGGCAGCAAGCAUGGUUGCUUAUUCACACCGUGUACUGCAGCAAAAAAGGAACUAGCUAAAAGCAACCAGCUAGGUUUAAUUGCUGGAACAUGCCUACAGAGAGCUCAGUCAGUGCAAAACUCAGGGCAAGGCUUGAGCUUAGGAACAGAACAUAAAAAACCUACUGCUUUAGGCCCAGCUAUGUUAGCUCUCCUACAAGAGAGAAAUGAAGGCAUGCAAUAACCCAAGAGGUUAAUGCUCUGCAGCAUGCACAUGGGCCAAAAAUGACAUGGGAAAGAACAUCUGUGAAGUUGCCUUCUCCAGCCAAGACAAGAGUGGAAAGAGAUCACCAGCCCCUUUCCAAGCAACCUCCCAUAUCACUAGAACAGGCUGCAGACAACAGUGAUGAUGAACUUACAGACAGCCCCGUCGUCUUCAUACUGUCCUCACUGAAGAGGUUUCUUUGAAAUCUUUACUUUCCUCCCACAUUUAACUGUUCAAGUGUGUUGCUAAGGGGAUUGAUUGGCUUAAGGUCUCCUCUCGUCUCAUCUCUCCUGUAUAUAGAUAUGUAUAUAUACAUAUACACAUACUGCUAAUGCUUCAGGUGCAUCAUUACUCCUCUUCCUCCUAUGCCAGCCAAGGAAACGUACUUCUUCCAGGGCCUGAAGAGAACAAUGAUCAAGUCCAGCUUCCCAGCCAUGUGAAGCACCUGGAGCAAUGUACCCAAGUUCUCAUUUCAGGCUCCUGUUAUCCAUUUCACAAUAAAUAUUUUACAGUGAA